AACGAACGCUGGCGGCAGGCUUAACACAUGCAAGUCGAACGCCCCGCAAGGGGAGUGGCAGACGGGUGAGUAACGCGUGGGAACAUACCCUUUUCUACGGAAUAGCUCUGGGAAACUGGAAUUAAUACCGUAUACGCCCUACGGGGGAAAGAUUUAUCGGGGAAGGAUUGGCCCGCGUUGGAUUAGCUAGUUGGUGGGGUAAAGGCCUACCAAGGCGACGAUCCAUAGCUGGUCUGAGAGGAUGAUCAGCCACAUUGGGACUGAGACACGGCCCAAACUCCUACGGGAGGCAGCAGUGGGGAAUAUUGGACAAUGGGCGCGAGCCUGAUCCAGCCAUGCCGCGUGAGUGAUGAAGGCCUUAGGGUUGUAAAGCUCUUUCACCGAUGAAGAUAAUGACGGUAGUCGGAGAAGAAGCCCCGGCUAACUUCGUG
rnacentral:rRNA from 1 species